AAAAUCCCACCGGCCGUCACAUUUCUCCCCGUCGUUCCCCAUUCUUCCUCUCCCCGUCUCCUCGGGCCACCCCUCCCCUUCGUACCCACUGCCACCAAGAGGAGCUCGGCAUGCACGGGAGCAUCCCAGCGCUAGGCUCCGUCGGAGGUGAGGGACUUCCACGCCCCUGCUCUUCCCCGUCCUUCUUCCAAUCUGCUCGCCGAAGUGCCGAAGGAUGCGCUCGAGCUCAGCAUGCUCACGAGCGACCCAGCGCGGAUGCCCGCAACAAGACAACAAGGAGCGGGCGUGGGUGCGCAAAAAUAUAUGGGCACAGUUCGAUGCCUCCACUGGCGUGCCUUCGUUUGAUAUGCUAUUCAAGAUCCCUGUACAAUUGUGUUAUUCAAGAUACAAUGGCACUCGAUGAUGCUUGCUAAGAAGGUCUGCAGUAUCCACUGGACUGUUGCUUGCCAGAUGACUGGAAGAUGGAUAAAAUUUGGACCAUGGCUCGGUAUGAUCAAUUGGAGAAGACAUUACUAUGACUACAAAGAUCUGUUUUUUCAGGUGAUGAAUUGUAACCUUAUAUUCUUUAUUACUUGGAAUUGAAAAUCACUGGAAGCAAUCUGUAAUUACUUCGGAGAGAUUAUUUUACUCUUUUCUGUCUUGCUCUUGUUCAGCAUAGGAUGUACUCCGUAUAUCAUUAUCACUAUCAUGGUGUAUUUUUGCCAUUGAGGAAUCUUCCCAUGUAGCAAAUUUACCUAGAAAAUACAAAACUUUGGCAUAUCACCAUCAGGUGCAGACGUACUCUUUCCCCCAAAUACUACAGCAGUAUCCCUACAAUCAGAUGUACAAAAAUUUGCUUGCUAAAAAACUAAUCAAUAAUCCAUGAAAUCUAACUGGAUUAAUUAAGGAUCAAGCCACUCACCUUGUGGCUACAAUCGACCAGAUUGACCUCUCCACGUUCCUGCAUGUGAAGAACUGAUCAGUGCCCCAAGUCAAAACUACUGCAUGCAUACCUUAUACAUGAAGCCCUUACUCAAAAUUCAGAAAAUAUGCAGAAUAACCAUUUUUAUUGACAUAGCUAUCUGCAGUCCUAGACAAAGUGUGACCAUAAUCUACACUACUACACAUGAAUUACUAUAUAGCUACCUUAUUGGGGCCUAUAUGCCUGAUCCUCAUAUCUUCUUGUUUGGCAAAGAGUUCACAAUUUGCACUUAUUAGUCUUGAAUGGAGAAGAUUGCACAUGCUAUUGUACAACUGGGCAAUGGUGUGGAGCUCCAUAAGCGACGCCGGCGACUCCAAUUGUCCUUCUCGCCUAUGCAUCCCGACAGAGAAGCUUUAGAAACUAUAAUCUGUCUACUCCUUGUUCAGGUUCAGUAAUGAACAUAUUAUUAUACAAAUUAAUUUAACAAAACUGGAUUCUCUUUUUUGGUGAUGAAACUGUAGCAACAUUAGCACAGUUUUUGUCAAUACUACAAAAGAGGGGGAUAGUUGAUCGUUGGAAACACCAUUGACACAGGCUUGACGCACAACUGGGUUAUAGAUCAAUUGUCUUCCCACUUCAGUAACACCAUGAUCUUGUACUUGCUUUUUGAAAAUCAUGGACGAACAACCUGUGAUCUGGUACCAAUUUUUGGCACAACCAUGAACUCCCAAAGCGAUUCACCAGAGUGAUUUAUGCUUUCUGACGGGUAUGCACAUAUAAGAUGGAUUUCUUCCGAACCGAUUGGAAGCAUACGGCAACAUGGGCGUACACAAGCGCUAGCCUAAGCAUGCAGGUAGAUAUUAUAGACAUCUUGUUGAUGCAGGUGUGCAAGGAUGCAAUAUUCAUGACCGAGCGCAACGUCGGUGGAUCUGUAUCUUUGGGUUCAGAAUUUUGAAAGAAAGGGGAUGUGGGAAACAAUAAGAGGGGAGCUCUACCUCCAGCAGCACUUUCCCGGUCGUCGGCGUCGUGCUUCCAGCUACGGCCGCUGCAGACGAUGGCGGGCAGCAGCCGCCGACGCCUUCCGGCGCGGCUGUGCACAACUUCCCGAUGAGCACCGUGGACUGGAUGCUCUGGAGGUAUGUGCAAGAAGAGGAGCCGACCUUCUCGAAGCCGGGGAUGACAGUGGAUAGCUCAAUGAAUCGUCGGUUGAUCUUCUCUCGGCGCUUCCGCUUCUGCUCCGCUGCAAGAGAGAGGGGCGGCAGGGGCAGAACCGAAGG